rnacentral:rRNA from 1 species
UACGUAGGGGGCAAGCGUUGUCCGGAAUUAUUGGGCGUAAGAGCGUGUAGGCGGUCCGGUAAGUCAGCUGUGAAAGUCAAGGGCUCAACCCUUGAAUGCCGGUUGAUACUGUCGGGCUAGAGUCCGGAAGAGGCGAGUGGAAUUCCCGGUGUAGCGGUGAAAUGCGCAGAUAUCGGGAGGAACACCAAUGGCGAAGGCAGCUCGCUGGGACGGUACUGACGCUGAGACGCGAAAGCGUGGGGAGCAAACAGG